GAUGAACGCUGGCGGCGUGCCUAAUACAUGCAAGUCGAGCGAACGGACGAGAAGCUUGCUUCUCUGAUGUUAGCGGCGGACGGGUGAGUAACACGUGGAUAACCUACCUAUAAGACUGGGAUAACUUCGGGAAACCGGAGCUAAUACCGGAUAAUAUUUUGAACCGCAUGGUUCAAAAGUGAAAGACGGUCUUGCUGUCACUUAUAGAUGGAUCCGCGCUGCAUUAGCUAGUUGGUAAGGUGACGGCUUACCAAGGCAACGAUGCAUAGCCGACCUGAGAGGGUGAUCGGCCACACUGGAACUGAGACACGGUCCAGACUCCUACGGGAGGCAGCAGUAGGGAAUCUUCCGCAAUGGGCGAAAGCCUGACGGAGCAACGCCGCGUGAGUGAUGAAGGUCUUCGGAUCGUAAAACUCUGUUAUUAGGGAAGAACAUAUGUGUAAGUAACUGUGCACAUCUUGACGGUACCUAAUCAGAAAGCCACGGCUAACUACGUGCCAGCAGCCGCGGUAAUACGUAGGUGGCAAGCGUUAUCCGGAAUUAUUGGGCGUAAAGCGCGCGUAGGCGGUUUUUUAAGUCUGAUGUGAAAGCCCACGGCUCAACCGUGGAGGGUCAUUGGAAACUGGAAAACUUGAGUGCAGAAGAGGAAAGUGGAAUUCCAUGUGUAGCGGUGAAAUGCGCAGAGAUAUGGAGGAACACCAGUGGCGAAGGCGACUUUCUGGUCUGUAACUGACGCUGAUGUGCGAAAGCGUGGGGAUCAAACAGGAUUAGAUACCCUGGUAGUCCACGCCGUAAACGAUGAGUGCUAAGUGUUAGGGGGUUUCCGCCCCUUAGUGCUGCAGCUAACGCAUUAAGCACUCCGCCUGGGGAGUACGACCGCAAGGUUGAAACUCAAAGGAAUUGACGGGGACCCGCACAAGCGGUGGAGCAUGUGGUUUAAUUCGAAGCAACGCGAAGAACCUUACCAAAUCUUGACAUCCUUUGACAACUCUAGAGAUAGAGCCUUCCCCUUCGGGGGACAAAGUGACAGGUGGUGCAUGGUUGUCGUCAGCUCGUGUCGUGAGGUGUUGGGUUAAGUCCCGCAACGAGCGCAACCCUUAAGCUUAGUUGCCAUCAUUAAGUUGGGCACUCUAAGUUGACUGCCGGUGACAAACCGGAGGAAGGUGGGGAUGACGUCAAACCAUCAUGCCCCUUAUGAUUUGGGCUACACACGUGCUACAAUGGACAAUACAAAGGGCAGCGAAACCGCGAGGUCAAGCAAAUCCCAUAAAGUUGUUCUCAGUUCGGAUUGUAGUCUGCAACUCGACUACAUGAAGCUGGAAUCGCUAGUAAUCGUAGAUCAGCAUGCUACGGUGAAUACGUUCCCGGGUCU
rnacentral:rRNA from 1 species